UACGGAGGGUGCAAGCGUUGUUCGGAUUUACUGGGCGUAAAGCGCGCGUAGGCGGCUAAUUAAGUCAAAUGUGAAAUCCCCGAGCUUAACUUGGGAAUUGCAUUCGAUACUGGUUAGCUAGAGUGUGGGAGAGGAUGGUAGAAUUCCAGGUGUAGCGGUGAAAUGCGUAGAGAUCUGGAGGAAUACCGAUGGCGAAGGCAGCCAUCUGGCCUAACACUGACGCUGAGGUGCGAAAGCAUGGGGAGCAAACAGG
rnacentral:rRNA from 1 species